CUGAGGGGAGCAGCGAAGGCUAUCAUGUCCUGUUCCCCCUUUCUCAAGAUGCAGCAACACUUGCAAGUUCCUUCCUCCUCUUCUCUCCCCUCUCUCUUUUCUUUUGCUUUCCGAAUUUUAAAUCUCUGACCUAAAAGCAUCUGGUCCCUUUCGAGUUCCCCUGAAUCUUCUGAUUGUCACUCAGACUCCAGACCACAAUUCCAUGUGCAGUCGAGAUGGCGUCUUCUCCCACUACAACUUCUGCAUUCGGUGUGGAACCCGGCUACCUCCGGAUGUGGGAGUUGACCCUAAGAGCAAUACAAGAAGAAAUAUCCUGUGUUCCCUGGAAGAUAGCUCUCCGCUCAAGGCCACCUCUGGGACUGUGCCCUGGACAUACUCAGCUUGACACGCUCUUGUGCUACGUCCUAAGAGGCAAGAGAAUCUUCCACCUAACACUUUGUGUCAUUUCUAGGUCAAACACUUCAGAGCUUCCUUACCAAGUACGCUGAGAUGAAGUUAUUGUUGAAUCUGUUGAAAGAAAUGCUGGAUGAACUCGACUCCAGGGAGGAGACAAAAAAGGUGAAGAAGCUGGGACACAGUCUAAAGCCACAGGAGGCACCCUCGAGCUGACACAGCCUUUUCUGCCUGCUUCUGAGAUGCUACUA
rnacentral:lncRNA from 1 species